CUUGAGUCUUGGCCACAUUAAGCUUAUAGUAGGAAUGGGUCCCAUAGUCCGUGAUUACUGCCAGGAGAUUUGGAAGGGAAAUCUGCGGCUGCGUAAGAGUGAGCAGGAUAUCAUCUGCGAACAGGUUUGCUUUGUAUUCCUUUUGGCCAACAGUGGUUCCAUGUAUAGAGGUAUGAUCUCUAAUGGUUUGCGCCAGGGGCUCUAACGCCAAGACGUAGAGCAAGG